rnacentral:rRNA from 1 species
UUACUCUUCGGAGUGAGAGCGUACACAGGUGCUGCAUGGCUGUCGUCAGCUCGUGUCGUGAGAUGUUGGUAAGUCCCGCAACGAGCGCAACCCUGCAUUCAGUUGCCAUCGGUAAGGCCGGGCACUCUGGAUGGACUGCCGGCGACAAGCCGGAGGAAGUGGGGACGACGUCAAGUCAUCAUGGCCCUUAUGUCCAGGGCGACACACGUGCUACAAUGGCCGGCACAACGGGAAGCGAAGGGGCGACCCUGAGCGGAUCCCACAAAAGCCGGUCUCAGUUCGGAUUGCAGUCUGCAACUCGACUGCAUGAAGUUGGAAUCGCUAGUAAUCGUGGAUCAGCCAAGCCGCGGUGAAUACGUUCCCGGGCCUU